AAAAAGUAACGUUCGAAAAGGUGUGCAAACUUCUGUUGCUGCAGCCAAAAUGGUCCGCUCUUAUAAAAGAAAAAUUGGAGCAAGAAAAUAUGCCAACUUUACACCAGAAGCCUUAGAGAAAGCUCUAAGUGAAAUAAAAU